UAGAGCGUGGUAGCGAUCGAGCGCCCUUUUAAGGCAUGGGUCGCAGGUUCGAAUCCUGCCGCGCUCACCA
rnacentral:tRNA from 1 species